UUUGUAGGUUGAUAUAUCCCUUUUAAUCUUUCAUUCUAGGGAGAAGAGGAAAAAUGCAUCAGUGGAUGUGUCCUGUCUGGUGGAAACCUUCCAAGCACUCAUCCUGGCAAAUUAAUGAAUGGACUACUGCUUUCCUUGUGGAUGGGGAACACCUACUAUGUCCAUGAUUUUUUUCUAUCCCUCUAAUUCUUGGCUGCUACCCAGAAGGUGCACAUAGGUUCCUGUAAAAGAUAUGUUCCACCCCCAAGCUCUCUGAAGUGGCCAUAUAUUGGCUUGGUGAAGGGAAGCCAGAGCAUCACUGUGAAAUUCAGAAAUCACUGUGAAAGCACCAUGUUCCAGUUGAACAACUUCUAUUUUCUUGAAUCAAAUACCAAAUUCCCUGUGAUGGCUCAAGAACCACCAUAAAAACUGGAGGAUGUCCCAAUGGCUUCACAAUCCACAUUGGGAGACAUUUAGCCCCUAGUAGCAACAGUUCACCUCCAGGAAGAGGAUUCAUCUCUGCUGCCUUAUGUCCACUGGAAAAUACAAAAAAUGCCCCUGUUUCAACCCAAAUUCCACACUACCUCUUACUUCAUUCUUGAAAUAUGGCUAUACCUAUAGCUUGAAAAAUUGGAAAUUCCCAUAACCUAGAACCACUGGAGCACUUUAGGAGCUUCUUAUUGCUCAUCGUGACUGAAUGAGAAGGAGAAUUCAUUGACAGAAACUCAUGAAAAUGCUGGAGAUUACAGAACCAGUGAGUUUGAGCAUGCUGAUGAUGGGGCCUGGGGCAUUGGAGAGGAGGUAUGUGUCAAGAAAUCUGUGCCAAAACCAUGAGGAUGUGGUAUUGGCUUCCAAAGAGCAUGUUUCUCAAAUCAUGCAGCAAGCAGACCCUCCUAAGUCAAAGCAUCCUGUUGUCGAGAUUGGAUUGGAACUAUGCUCAGAAUCAGGGUUCUAGUCUGAGUUGGGAACAUAUAUGGGAUAGCAGUCAGGCUGAUGUUUUCUCCUGCAGAUAUUGAUUCACCACCUGUGAUGUAACUAUCUUCAGCACUAUGUCCCAGUUGACCUUUACAUUCUUCUUCAAGCAAAUAUCAAACUUCCUGUGAUGCCAUUAGAACCAUUGUGAAAGCUCGAGGAUGGCCCAAUGGCUUCACACUGCACACAUGGAGACAUUAAGCCCCAAGUGGCCAAAGUUCACCUCCAGGAAGAGGAUUCAGCUCUCCUGCCUCAUGCACAUUAAAGAACAGAAAACUAUGUCUUUCUCCAGUUCACACAAAUGGAGAUCCAGCUAUGAUUAUCUUACUGCCAAGGGAGGCAAGGCUCCUGACAACAAUAUAAAUUUCAAGGACCAAAACUUAGAGACAGGCUGUCAAGAAACUAUUAGGCCAGCACACCUCCAUGUUUGUGGAAGGUUUACCUGUACCUUAAUUUUAUACGCUUUUCUGCCAACUCCAUCAUUGUGAGCUUCUCAGCAUACCCCAUUCCAGAUAACCCACCUCAGAUAUCAUUCUUCUUCCUCUCUACUUCUGUUUUAUUUGGGGCCAUGGAAAUUUUAUGUCAUUGCUUAUGAUGGCAUUUUGGAAAUACAUUUGCAUAACACAUGCUUGCAUGACCUUGUAGGAAUUUUCUUAUUUUAUUUAUCAUUCACAUAUUCAAUUUCUUACCCUAACCCUAACCCUACUAAAUAUUGACUACAUUUCCUAAUAUUAUUGGUAAAACUAAACCUAAUAGAAAAGAAAUACAGCUAAACCAGAUGAGGCCUUACAUAUAUUUGGAAUUGCCUUUUCCAUUUUGAUUGUUAGGUGUUACCAAACUAGUCACAUAUUCAUUAAAACACUUAUCCAUAAGUCCUCAAAUUGAAAAAAAAUGUAGAAUAUCCUUACUCUCACUACAAUGUAGCCUGGGACAGAACACAUAUUUUCAUAUACAUACAUAUUUUCAUAGAUGAUUCCACAUAUAUAUUCUUAUGGUUUCCCUGAUGUUGGAAGGUACCAAUUCUCUAAGCACAAUAUUCAGCAUCAAGUUGGGCUCGAAAUAAAAAUAAAAAAAAUUAAAUAAAAAUUAAAAAUAAAAACCUAACAUGACCUCCAUCACAGGACAAGGAUUGACAUGAAAGCAGUGAAGGUAAAUGAAUAUUUAUGUGUACUUUGAAGGUUGUAUAUUCUAUUAUCAAUGACAUGUAUUCAUAUCUAUUCAUAUCUAAUAGACUAAUAAGUCUAUUAGUAUAGACUUAUGUAUAUAAUAGAGAUACAGUGCACAAAUUAUGCAAUAUUGAAUAGAUGAAUAACGCUGUACUCUGACCUGAGUUGAUAGUGUGUAUUUACGUGGACUCUUAUGCAUACUUUCACAAGCUCAUUCCAACAAAUAUUCAUAUUUCCUGCUAUACAUAGACAUUUUCUCAUACUCACUCUAACCUCAUUCAAUAUUGAAUAGUUACCCUAAUUUUGCCACAGUAACUAUACCUAAUGAUAUGGAUAUUGAUUUAUGCAUUCCUUAUCAUUGGUACAUAGCCCUUAAUUUAGUUCAUAUUCAAUCUAUGAUAUAUCCAAUCAACCCCAUAUUUAAAAUUGUGUAUACAUAUGAUUGACUUUAAAUAAUUUCUUGUUUUAGAACACAUAUAUUCAUACAUGUGUUCUUACUUAUUUUCACAUGAACAUUAUUCUGAUCAUACAUCAUAUUUAGUAAACAUAUUCAUUUUCUAAGCAAAACCCAAAUAAACUCAUUAUGUGUGACGAU